rnacentral:rRNA from 1 species
UACGAAGGGUGCAAGCGUUACUCGGAAUUACUGGGCGUAAAGCGUGCGUAGGUGGUUUGUUAAGUCUGAUGUGAAAGCCCUGGGCUCAACCUGGGAAUUGCAUUGGAUACUGGCAGGCUAGAGUGCGGUAGAGGAUGGCGGAAUUCCCGGUGUAGCAGUGAAAUGCGUAGAUAUCAGGAGGAAUACCGAUGGCGAAGGCAGGUCUCUGGGCUAUAACUGACGCUCAUGCACGAAAGCGUGGGGAGCAAACAGG